GGGCCUGUAGCUCAAUGGCAGAGCAACACUCUUAUAAGGUGUAGGUUCCCGGUUCGAGUCCAGGCAGGCCCA
rnacentral:tRNA from 4 species